rnacentral:lncRNA from 11 species
CUUCUCUCCUUCUCUCCCUCCCUCCUUCUGCCUCUCCUCCCUCCUCCAAUCGCAGCCUCCCUUACUGCCUGGUGGGCUGAGUGAGCUGCAGCCCCAUCGCCCAGCUGAUCCCAGCCGCCUCGGCCAUGGCAGCACCAGAUUCAGGCAGUGGCCCUCCUCCUGGGCAGCCUGCCCCAUUUCCCCCUGCCCCACCACCUCCACCAAUUCUGCCUCCUCCCUUUGUAAGUAACUCACAGUUUAGUUUGCAUUUCAUUCCGCAAUGCAGAAAGCGUAUGUGUGAAUGA